rnacentral:rRNA from 1 species
UACAGAGGUCCCAAGCGUUGUUCGGAUUCAUUGGGCGUAAAGGGUUCGUAGGCGGCGCGGUAAGUCGGGUGUGAAAUCUCGGGGCUUAACUCCGAAACUGCAUUCGAUACUGCCGUGCUUGAGGACUGGAGAGGAGACUGGAAUUUACGGUGUAGCGGUGAAAUGCGUAGAUAUCGUAAGGAAGACCAGUGGCGAAGGCGGGUCUCUGGACAGUUCCUGACGCUGAGGCACGAAGGCCAGGGGAGCAAACGGG